UACGGGCCAGACAUGAGUUGCCUACUUGUAUUAGAUGGCCUACUUUGAGGCCCACAGAGGAUUGAAGCAAAGCCCAUUUCAUAUAUGCAUGCAGUGCUGGGAUUAUGAAUCAAAUACAGAAAUCGAGAGCUUAGAGAGAGAAAGUAAGAGAGAGAGUAAGAGAGAAAAGAUAAAUUGGAAGGAAAAAUGAUACGCAGAAAUUGGAGUCUUCUCACCGCCCCCGCUGCCAUUCUCGCCGGAAUAGUCGGAACUGUCGUCGUCUCCGACCUCCUAUUCGUUGAAAACGAUUGGUUACGUAAGACAGAUCAAAAGAAACAAGAAUCGGCUCCUUCGAAAAAGUAGAAGAGGGAAUGAGUGUAGUUUUACUGUGAUCUAAGCUUGGCUGAAGUGUUGUGUGUUGGAUGUGUCUGCAGCAGAAUGUUUAGGUGAAUAAAGUACAGUUUUCAAGGAACGCCUAAGUGCUUGAUUGUGUUUUUGUGGCUGAAUUUCCUCCCUUCACAAUACUUUAUCCUUCACAAUGCAUCAUUUGUCUGAAAUGUGAAUGAUUAGAGAAA